GAUGAACGCUGGCGGCGUGCCUAAUACAUGCAAGUCGAGCGAACAGACGAGGAGCUUGCUCCUCUGACGUUAGCGGCGGACGGGUGAGUAACACGUGGAUAACCUACCUAUAAGACUGGGAUAACUUCGGGAAACCGGAGCUAAUACCGGAUAAUAUAUUGAACCGCAUGGUUCAAUAGUGAAAGACGGUUUUGCUGUCACUUAUAGAUGGAUCCGCGCCGCAUUAGCUAGUUGGUAAGGUAACGGCUUACCAAGGCAACGAUGCGUAGCCGACCUGAGAGGGUGAUCGGCCACACUGGAACUGAGACACGGCCCAGACUCCGACGGGAGGCAGCAGUAGGGAAUCUUCCGCAAUGGGCGAAAGCUUGACGGAGCAACGCCGCGUGAGUGAUGAAGGUCUUCGGAUCGUAAAACUCUGUUAUUAGGGAAGAACAAAUGUGUAAGUAACGAUGCACGUCUUGACGGUACCUAAUCAGAAAGCCACGGCUAACUACGU
rnacentral:rRNA from 1 species